rnacentral:rRNA from 1 species
CAGCAGCCACGGUAAUACGGAGGGUGCAAGCGUUAAUCGGAAUUACUGGGCGUAAAGCGCACGCAGGCGGUCUGACAAGUCAGAUGUGAAAUCCCCGGGCUUAACCUGGGAACUGCAUUUGAAACUGUCAGGCUGGAGUCUUGUAGAGGGGGGUGGAAUUCCAGGUGUAGCGGUGAAAUGCGUAGAGAUCUGGAGGAAUACCGGUGGCGAAGGCGGCCCCCUGGACAAAGACUGACGCUCAGGUGCGAAAGCGUGGGGAGCAAACAGGAUUAGAUACCCCUGUAGUCCCUGUCUCUAUACA